rnacentral:misc_RNA from 1 species
UGAGACAAAACUGCAUGUCAGUUUUGAACAACGCUUGCGUUGACCCGAAGGGCGAGGCCAGAGGCCGAGUCAUCCCGCACGACCCACCAUUAUAUCCAGUUCUUCAGCAA